CCGACACCAACAAGAAGAGAAGCAGGGAAAACUCCUUCCCCUUGGAUUGCAUUACCAUCAUUGCAGAUGGCAAAUCUGAUUAUGAGGAAGAAGAACAACCACACCCUAAAAGAGUAAAGUGAACACUAGCACCAAAGUGAUUGUGGUGCUUUCAAUGGCAUUAGCCACACGUUGCCUCAAGUAUAGAUAAGAUGCGAAACUAGCUUUAUAAAUUGUAAGGCUAUGUUUGGAUGUGAGUCAUGUUGACAUUUUUCCGAAGUACAUAAUUCAACAUUUUGUGAUUUGAACCUA